GACGAACGCUGGCGGCGUGCUUAACACAUGCAAGUCGAACGAAGUGGCGAACGGGCGAGUAACGCGUAAUCAACCUGCCCUUCAGAGGGGGACAACAGUUGGAAACGACUGCUAAUACCGCAUACUGAAGGAGGGGAUUGCGUCUGAUUAGCUCGUUGGGGGGGGAACGGCCCACAAAGGCGAUGAUCAGUAGCAGGUCUGAUAGGAGGAAAGGCAACAUUGGGACUGAGACACGGCCCAGAAUCCUACGGGAGGCAGCAGUGGGGAAUUGUGGACAAUGGGGGGAAGCCUGAUCCAGCCAUGCCGCGUGUCUGAAGAAGGCCUGCGGGUUGUAAAGGACUUUUGUCAGGGAAGCGGUACCUGAAGAAUAAGCACCGGCUAACUACGUGCCAGCCGCCGCGGUAAUUC
rnacentral:rRNA from 1 species